rnacentral:rRNA from 1 species
AGCGAACGCUGGCGGCAGGCUUAACACAUGCAAGUCGAACGCCCCGCAAGGGGAGUGGCAGACGGGUGAGUAACGCGUGGGAACGUGCCCUUCGCUUCGGAAUAGCCCCGGGAAACUGGGAGUAAUACCGAAUACGCCGUAUUGGGAAUGAUUUAUCGGCGAAGGAUCGGCCCGCGUUAGAUUAGCUAGUUGGCGGUGUAAUGGACCACCAAGGCUACGAUCUAUAGCUGGUCUGAGAGGAUGAUCAGCCACACUGGGACUGAGACACGGCCCAGACUCCUACGGGGGGCAGCAGUGGGGAAUCUUGGACAAUGGGCGCAAGCCUGAUCCAGCCAUGCCGCGUGAGUGAAGAAGGCCUUAGGGUUGUAAAACUCUUUCGCCGGAGAAGAUAAUGACGGUAUCCGGAGAAGAAGCCCCGGCUAACUUCGUGCCAGCCGCCGCGGUAAUAC